rnacentral:rRNA from 1 species
UACGAAGGGGGCUAGCGUUGCUCGGAAUCACUGGGCGUAAAGCGCACGUAGGCGGCUUUUUAAGUCAGGGGUGAAAUCCUGGAGCUCAACUCCAGAACUGCCUUUGAUACUGAGAAGCUUGAGUCCGGGAGAGGUGAGUGGAACUGCGAGUGUAGAGGUGAAAUUCGUAGAUAUUCGCAAGAACAUCAGUGGCGAAGGCGGCCUGCUGGGCUGUUGCUGACGCUGAGGCGCGAAAGCGUGGGGAGCAAACAGG